CUAUAGUCGGGCUCAUUUUUCGCAAAUAUCUGCUCAAACCGUCGAUCCCCAUAUCUGCUUCUUUCUAGCCAUUUUCAGCCGAACCGUCAAAUCGAUUCGUCGGCGGGGGGAAUAGUGGUUCGGAGGCAAACGUCACUAGGCUGUGAUUUAAACGGACGGAGCAGUGAAUCACGCGGCGGCUGAUUUAAGGACCCCCCCCUUUUCGGCGAGGAUGGUACGGCUCAUGAUUCCUGGGACCCGCUGAGCUCUGCGCGAGAGCAACCUGUGGCAGCGCUGCGCAGAGCUGUCACCGCUGCCGCUCUGCGCGCGCUGGGCUCGUGCAAUUCGCCUUCAUUUGUCAGCGAUAAAAGAUGUUUCUGUGAAGGUUCCGUCUUUUAUAGUCAUCCGGGCUCUAAAGAUAAAACCAGCGACUGCCCAGUGCAUCUGAGGCGUCACACACCGGAGUGCGUUUACUGAGAAAGUUCUAAAUUGUUACGUGGAAUUCAGCUGAUGACAAUCACGAGUCCACACAGAUACAUUAAAUACACAAAGCAUUCAGUAUUAUUAGUGACAGACGGGCUGAAACCCUCCUCUUUAAUGGCCUCUAUCAACCAGGAAGUUUAUUCUUUAGGCAUUCCUACCUAGUCAUGUUUCCAAAAAAUAAAAUAACUGUAAAUAAGUAAAUGUAAAUGAUUCAUUGUCAGAUACCAUGAUUCUUUAAUAUAAUGUAGAAAACUCAGAUAGUUGCUUUGCAUCAGAAGCUAAAAUCCUAAUUAUAGCCACAGCAACCAGAGCUACAGCCAACUGUUUCCCACAAAGACUUCAUUCGUGGUGCACUGUACCCACUGGUAUGUGGGUGUAGGACAAAGGUGUGUGUGUGUGUGUGUGUGUGUGUGUGUCGCUAGACUGUAACAGUGUGAUAAAGGCCUACACAUUCUAUCCUGUGUUUCUUGUCUUUAGGAUGGUGGGAUUGUUCUGCAACAAAUGCAUGUAGACAGAGCUGAAUGACACACGUCCUUUGUGCUGGUGCUGGUGCUGCACGCAGCGUGUUGGUGCAGUGGAGCAUGGUGUUGUUAGUUUCGCAGUCUGAGUCACCUGGGGCUACACAUGUCCUGUUCUGUCAACCACUGUCACAGGCCACAGGGUAGAGCGGGCGGCGGCAGGUGGCGAUGCUCUCGGUGAGCAGCGCUGCAGAGAGGAGGAGGUGCGGAGGUUUACCGUUUGCUGCUUGGGAUUUGUCUGUUUCACACAUACUGAGAGGUGGUAGCAGAAGUGACGGCAGCCUGAGAACAAAGACCUGUAAUCAGGAACUUCAGCGCAGGUGCCGUCACUGCUGCUUUUCUGAAAGGCUCUGUUUCACACUGAUAGUGCUCGGAGAAUAAUAUCAAUAUUUCUAAUCUCACAAAACAGGAUAUGAAAGAGAGCUGCCUUACCACUCAUUUGUGUGUCCUGUCUGUAGCAGCUUGAUUAAAUCCUCAGGCAUCAAACUGAAGCAUCUGACAUGCGUGUAUGUCAGCCUCUUUUUACAACACACAGCUCCUAACUAUAGAAAAAGUACUUGUGGCAUCUCUACUCUGUGAUCAAUAACAGGAUCUUUAGCUUAGGGCCAAAUAGAAUUAAGAAUUGCUUUAGGAUAAUGACAGUAUCGACCAGCGCUCAGUAAAGCGUUUCAGUGUGGCAGGUUAAUUCCUUCAAUGAAGGUGCACAGGGAGCCGGUCUGAGUCAGGUUUAACGCUCAGAGUAAUUCUCUCCAGCGUUGUGUGCUGCAACUAUUUUCCCCUCAAUACCACACGAGCACGUAGGACUACGGCAAAGCAAGUCAGGGCUACGGUGCCUGAAAUGGGGAAAGUUGGAACGGGAUACGGAGGAAAUUCUCCCGUCCACUGGUGCCUGCACAUGUGAAGCCCUGAAUGGAUUACAGGUCAUUAUUACAGGGAGGUAUAUGAGAUCAGGCUACGAAGCCUUACAGCUGACACGCUAAUAAAACAUAAUAACACAGUUACAGGUUAGAAAACCUGCUUUGGAAGCAAUCCUUGUUUUCUUUUUCUUGCUAAGAACAUAAGGAAUCAGACGUUGCUGCUGCUUCUGGCUCUGUGCUCGGUUUGAAGCAGGGAACUUCCGCCGCGAAUGAAUGCAAGUCAUUUACUCUGCUCAUUAUGUGAGAUGUUGAGAUGUUUUGAUGUUUGGAGAUGAAAAUGCUUUGAGAUGAAAUAUUCAUUUUUUUAGCUGACUUAAUUAUGUAUGUGUCCACUGUCAAGUUGGAAACGGCUGCUCCUGUGAGGGAUGUUUCAGGCGUACCCAGAAUACAUUACCUCCUUAUUACAGGGGAUUGCCUGGAUACACUCAUAUGCAGCCUUAUGGAAAUAUUAAAUGAAGAGGCUGCACACCUCAGUGGACACACUGCAUAAGCACGAGUGCCUCCUGUUUGUGACUCAUAAUGCAAAUGUUCAGCUGAUUGUCGCUUUUUGAGUCAUUUAUUACAUCAGUCAUUGUUUUAAAGAAAGACGUUUGGUAAUUUAUGACAACAGAGCUGUUGAGCUGUUUGAUCUAGAUAUAGUGAUCUAAGGAGUUGAUAUGCGGAAUCUUCUACAAUUUCACUGUUCUACAGUGUAUUAAUGUUCUACAUUAUUUCUCUGACUUCACAGCAGUAAACCUGGGGGUGACCCUAAAGAGGUCAAAGUAAUAGGUCAACUGCUUUGGGAAGACUCAUAAUGAGAGUAAGAUGAGAACACAGUCACAUCUACGGAGGAAACACAGGUUUGCAGCCUGUUAGAACAUAAUGAAUGUCAGAGUAAAGAAUAAAUAAGAUGUUUGGUUUUGCAGGGAAUGAAUCACAGACUGUGUCUCGAGUCCCUGAUGAUCGUCUGAAAACCUCUGAGUGACUCCAGGAAACAACCCCAUCAGACUGUGAGCUAACCCUCUAGCAUCACAUUCACACUGCAGACACGAGAGUGAGCUGAUCUUCUGAUCUCUCAGAAAGAAGGUAUUUAGUUCACAAAAUGUCAAAGGAUUCCUUUUAACAUUUAUUCCCCUGGUGAGAAGGGAAACUGGGGAAAACAGAUUUCACUGUUAAACUUUGUGUCUGUGCUUCGUUGCUCCGUGGGCCUGUUCUCACUUCUAAACCAUUAAGACCUUCGACCGCUCUCCAGUUGUAACACUCCUCCAGAUGUCACCUGGGGUUUGAACGUGUGAUAUUCUCCAUCUGAAUGUAAUGAGGUGACAUCAAUAGCGGGGUUUAAAGGCAUCACUUAAAGGACAACGUCUACAGGACUCCGUCGUGUGUCAUUUUCAUUAGAAACUGUCUCUGCAUGUUUAGUUUUGAAGCCGGCUCCCGUGUUAUUAUUGCAGUCAUGUUCCGUGCUGGAAUGUCGUCAUGCGUCUCUCUUUUCACUCCUGAACCCUCACCAGUGCACUGUGGCCCUUUCAGCGCCUCUCUCUGGCUCUGGUAAAGGUGUGGGUGGCCACAGUUGGACCCUGAAGUGGCCACACGGACCCUGAGCUGUGAAAUUACAUUAAGCCGCCAGCCUAAGUCCCAUGGCAAUCCUCCCUUAAUGAAAACUGUUUCACAGUGCAGGCUGCUCGGAGCACCGGAGACAAUCUGUUUGACAAGCGGGACUUAAUGUGGAGAGGCUGAGUAAAGGGACACCGUAGUAAUUGGCUGCCAUUUUGGAUGUUCAUUUAUAGAGCUCCGCCACUAUUCAUGUGCAGAGAAAAAUGUUCUGAUGUUCCAUGAGUGUGUGUGGGAAAAGAGUAGGUGUGCGGUAUUCAGCAGAGGCCUAUCACAGAUUGAAACAUAAGCACACACACACAAACAUAUACCACCCACGCACCAGUCACUCACCAGCCUCAGCAUUGUACCACUUUCAGAUGUGUUGCCUUGCAAUGGAAAAUUAGAUGUUUAGAUUCUUAUCCGUGCUCAGGGGAAUUAUCAAAGGUCACUCAUUCAUCGGCACAAAGUCAGGUGAAGUGGACACAAAUGGAAAUUUCUGAUUGAAGACGUGACACAACGAAAGUUAAAACGUUUCUACCCCGAGUGGCCGGUGGAGACUAAAACCGAGCUUUAAGAGGAAAAGUAUAAGGUAUACGGGCAUCGUGAGGAGAUACGUGAGUCAGAAUGUUGCUCCAUGAGUGACUAAUGUGUCAACUUAAAGAAGACGUGAUAUGACGUGUUUUUGAUACAAAGCCGUUUUUAAUGCGUCGUGAAACACACAGAGCGCACAUCUGACAUCGUUACCAUUACCUGCUUAAUAAGAGCACGCUGUCCGGCUCGACACGUCACCUCACCACAGACUGGUUUCAACUGUGAGAGAAGAAGCCUCCAAAAAUAACGCCUGCACAGACCGAGCGCGAUCACAAACGGUGUUCCAGCAGAUGAAGAGUAAAACGCGCCCGGCGCUCCAAUAAACACAGAGCAAACUUUCAGCGGGCCUUUCCACAGGACGGCACCUCCUCCAGGACGCCGGAGCCCGACUGGAGCCCGACUGGAGCCCGACUGGAGCCCUGAGGUCUGCGUGUGUGAGCGCGAGUUAAUGCACGGGUCUGCGCAGCCAAAACAAGUAUGUAUGUUGGCUGCAGCGCAGACAGGCAGCGUUACGUUCAGCCGCAGGUCAGCGGCGCUAGGCCCUGUGGAAUCAUGGGAGUGCGCUCCCCUCCCCCGCCGAGCACAGCGCCUUCUGCCAGGUCUCAUCGGAUGCAGGUUCGUUUACUCAUCAGGUAGAGCAAAUAUAGUAAAGGGUCAUUUUACUACUGGGCUUUGAAGAAAGUGAUGCAUGAGCAGUGUUUGUCCCCAAUGAUACGACAGAUGUUUAUCUGGAUGAUGCAACUAAAGCUUACACACAUGUUUCUACAAUCUGCAGGACCAAGAUUUCACCAGGACUGGCUUCAGUUUCAAAUAUUAGAGCUUCUCGUGAAAUCCUGUGCAGUCAUUUGGUGAUUAUGGUGCAUCUGUUUUUUUGCAGUUUAACGUUAAAGAGUUGGAUCAGCUCAAAGUAAGUGCACAUUUACACACUCAUGAGCAGGACCGCCGUGGCUGCAGCUUCCUGCUCACGUCCGGCUCAUCUCUGUUUGGGGUGGGCCCUGCUCUGACCAGCAUAUCAGCUACUUCCUGUCCACAGAAACAAACCAGUGGAGGAAGACGGAAGCCGCUGGAGGAAAACCGCGAGAUUGACAUCUUACCCUCAAAACACUGCAUUGUUGGGUUUCAUGUGUUGAGCUGUUUGUUUGAGGAGUUCCCCCGCGGGGCCGUGUGACCCCGGGAACGUUCUCAUGCUCUGUUUAUUUGUCAGAGUGUUCCUGAAGGUGGAACGGUGGACGGCGGCGCCUUUUAGCUUAGCGCCGCUUCUCUCCUUCCACUGUAUCAGACGCAGGGCAGCCUCCACCUGAGCACGUGUGCCUUUUAGCCGCGGCUGAGCAGAGCGGCGUGGGGGGUUGGUGGUCUGUGGAAGGGGAGGGGGACCUCACAUUUAGCUGCUGUCUCCUGGGAGAGAUUAAGCAGUUUAGUCUGUGCUGCGUCUCUGUCACUGCCUCCUGCUUCUCCUCUCUGCUCGGAGCAGGGCAGCGUGCGCCUCUUCUGUCAUCCUCCUUUUGCACUUUCUGUUCCUCUCUUCUACUCUCGUUUCCUCUUUGCGCCUUCGAUCGCUGGCUCUGACACUCUGGGCCCUUUUGCUCUCAUUCUGUUCCGCGCUCCUUUUCCGACCCGCUGGCAUCCAGCUGACGGCCCGAGCUGACGCCUCAGAUGGCAGACAGCUAGUGGGCUGUGGGUGGAAGCGUGGGACCUCCCACUCACCCAUAGGCUGCUUGGACUGGCCUGUCCCACUGCGCUGCUCUGGUGUGGAGCACCGUGGAGCUCAACCACUACGCCCAUUAAUCUCCUAAACGAUCCUGGACCUAAGAGGAUCAAUACUCAUUUUCAGGGAGCAGCAUGAUCCCUUAAUGUAGUGGAGGUUGGCUGCUUAUCCCUCACUCUCCCCCUGCCGACCCUCCGUUUCCACUGCCGUAGGAGGAGCAGGAGUCAGCCUUUCAUUUCAGUUGAGACCAUAUCUUGGUUUAUAGUAUCGCUCAGGUCUGUGGGCUCUUCGUGAUCACACGAGCCUCUGUAUUUAUUAGUUCAAGGUGUUAGUUUUAGUGUGAAGUAGCUGUUUUUUAGAUUUUAGAUUAGAUCAGCGUCUUGUAAUUGACUCGUUUCGGAUCACAGAGGGAUCCUCAGGAAUCCAGCAUGUAUCUAACAGCAGAUCAGCUCUGUGAACUUCCCAUCUGCUCUAGUACAAAAUACACAGAGAUCUGCCAGCGAAAAUAAAUCAGCGGCUUUACACUGAAACACACGUCUUCAGGCUAUUUUGUAUUAGUAGUGGUCGUAUAAUUGUUAUUCUUUGUUUUCCACAGAUGCUGAAAAAUGACUUCAUGCUAAUAGCAGCAUGAUCCAAGGAAAAUGGGAAAGAUCGGACUUUCCGUUGGAUAACAAGCGUCCGAUUUUCCAGGCUCCGUGCACAGACGAGCACACGGUUAGCUGAGCGUCUCAUCAUUGAUCUGCGCUGAUGCAGGGAGGUGCACGUCGUCCCGGUCAGCCAGCCUGUCUGAUGUAAAUUUGGAGGUGUUGUUUGUGCUAAAGCUAUUACUGCCCUGAGACCUGGAAAACUCUGCUGCUACUCAAUUAUUUAGCCCUUUUCUAUGUAAACAGGCACAGACUGAUUAUGAGAGAAUGGGACCUGGACACAGGUCCCCCUCAUAUGCAGUAGGACCUCCAGAUGCACCAUUUGUACAUUCUUCCUACAUCUGUGCUCAUUGUGUGUCUCUUCUGUAGGUUAAGUGUGUGUCCUUUUGGUGUGUCUGCUGCUCCGGGGUAAUUUUACAUACAUUAACUGAGCUCUCUGGCAUCACACAUGUAACUUCACACCAAGGCCUCUGACCUCUCGCUCCCUCAGGGCUCAGUGUGAUAAGUGGUGUACGUCUGUGAUUGGACGCAGUCUGAACCUGCUGAUUGUGCUGCAUGUGUGUGUCCUCUUCAUCAUCGCUGCAGUGAGCUCGACUCCGGAGAACAGCAGGGUCUUUCUUUAUGUGGAGGAUUGAAUCAGUGAUGACAGUCUUAUGACCUCUUCCUCUCUCUCUCUCUCUCUCUCUCGCUCUCUUCCUCACACACACACACACACACACACACACACACACACGGAUUGUUAUGUGAAUCUCAACAAAAUGGACGUUUGCCAAUUAAACUUUGUUACCUGCGAUCUAUGUCACAAUCAUCUAAUUUGAAUAUUUUUUUCGGGAAAUCAACACGAAUAAAUAAAGUUCAUGAUCU